rnacentral:lncRNA from 1 species
UUUUACUCAUCAUACAAUUCUAAGAUAAUUUCCCCCAAUUUUUUAGAUCCCACAUUUCUCCGACUGGGAUUUGUGGCUUCCAACCAUAUAUAAACAUGUUUAAAAAACAGGUCAUUUAUAUUUUAAAGUACCUAGAAAACAAGAUUUCUUAAGAGGAAAACAUUAAAAAAUUAUCUAAAAUGAUAAGCUAUCUUAUCUUCUACCCACUUGUCUUUCCAGUUUUUUAUCCAUUCAUCCACUGAAAAAUAUAGUUCCAGACAUUAUGGUAUACAACCUUUGGCAAAGCUUUCUUAGAAUGGAUUCUAUAGAAAAUUAUUUUUCCCUCUUGAAAAAUAGGAAAACCCACCUGUUCAAUGGCAAAUUCAGCAGUCACCCUGUCAGCUUUAACAGACGUUAAAGUUGCAAGCAUGUAGUAUGUGUCUCCUAUAUAACCAGGCAAUGAGAUGAGAGACUAGGACUGAAAUAACUACUAUUUCUAUUGUAUGGUAUUUCACCUAAUCUC